UGCAGUCGACGAUGAACCACUUCGGUGGGGAUUAGUGGCGAACGGGUGAGUAACACGUGGGCAAUCUGCCCUUCACUCUGGGACAAGCCCUGGAAACGGGGUCUAAUACCGGAUAACACUCUCACGGGCAUCUGUGAGGGUUAAAAGCUCCGGCGGUGAAGGAUGAGCCCGCGGCCUAUCAGCUUGUUGGUGAGGUAAUGGCUCACCAAGGCGACAACAGGUAGCCGGCCUGAGAGGGCGACCGGCCACACUGGGACUGAGACACGGCCCACACUCCUACGGGAGGCAGCAGUGGGGAAUAUUGCACAAUGGGCGAAAGCCUGAUGCAGCGACGCCGCGUGAGGGAUGACGGCCUUCGGGUUGUAAACCUCUUUCAGCAGGGAAGAAGCGAAAGUGACGGUACCUGCAGAAGAAGCGCCGGCUAACUACGUGCCAGCAGCCGCGGUAAUACGUAGGGCGCAAGCGUUGUCCGGAAUUAUUGGGCGUAAAGAGCUCGUAGGCGGCUUGUCACGUCGAUUGUGAAAGCCCGAGGCUUAACCUCGGGUCUGCAGUCGAUACGGGCUAGCUAGAGUGUGGUAGGGGAGAUCGGAAUUCCUGGUGUAGCGGUGAAAUGCGCAGAUAUCAAGAGGAACACCGGUGGCAAAGGCGGAUCUCUGGGCCAUUACUGACGCUGAGGAUCGAAAGCGUGGGGAGCGAACAUGAUUAGAUACCCUGGUAGUCCACGCCGUAAACGGUGGGAACUAGUGUUGGCGACAUUCCACGUCAUCGUGCCGCACCUAACGCAUUAAGUUCCCCGCCUGGGGAGUACGCCGCAAGCUAAAACUCAAAGGAAUUGACGGGGGCCCGCAC
rnacentral:rRNA from 1 species